GGAGCGGUAGCUCAGUUGGUUAGAGCGCUGCCCUGUCACGGCAGAGGUCGCGGGUUCGAGCCCCGUCCGCUCCG
rnacentral:tRNA from 2 species